rnacentral:sRNA from 1 species
UCCAUCGGUGUCGCCGAGGCCAUACCGGGC